AUUCUGGAGAGUUGGGGGAAGAGGUAGAGUAUUGGGGAGAAGAGGGAGAGUAUUCUGGAGAGUUAGGAGAAAGAGAGUACUGGGGAGAAGGAGGGGAAGAGGGAUAGUGAGAAAAAGGUGGGGAAGAGGGAUAGAAGUGUGGAGAGUUUGGGAAAGAGGGAGAGUAUUGGGGAGAAGAGGGAAAGUAUUCUGGAGAGUUGGGGGAAGAGGGAGAGUAUUGGGGAGAAGAGGGAGAGUAUUCUAGAGAGUUAGGAGAAAGAGAGUACUGGGGGAAGGAGGGGAAGAGGGGGAGUAAUAUGGACAGUUUGGGGAAGGAGGGGAAGAGGGAGAGUAAUGUGCAGAGUUUGGGGAAGAGGGAGUGUAGUGUGGAGAGUUUUGGUAAGAUGGGAUUUCAGAGGACUUCCUUUUUCUUUGUUUCUGCCUUCUUAUUUGUCUCUGCCCAGUAGAUCUCAUUUCCUUCCUUUUUCUCGAGUUUGGUCUCUCUAGAAAAUCUCCCAUCUCAUUUUCUUUUCUCACAAUCUGCACAAUAUAAUGAAAAGAGUAAAUCAAAGUGAUCCUUUUCUCACAAUCUGCACAAUAUAAUGAAAAGAGUAAAUCAAAGUGAUCCUUUUCUCACAAUCUGCACAAUAUAAUGAAAAGAGUAAAUCGAAGUGAAAUUAAACAGAUUGAGGUCUAAGAAAUUAAAUAAUUAAUAAAAUAGAAAAAUAAGGAAAAAUUGGGAAAAUAUAGAAAAAGUAGGAAAUAGUAGAAACAAAUAUAACUCUUGAAACAAUAAAUAAAUACUCAUUAAGAGUAUUUGUAAAGAACACAUAAAUACUCAUUAACAAUAUCAUAACUCAAUUUCAAUUUUUCUUUAUUUUCUUAUUUUUCCUGAUUUUAUUUAGGAUUCACUUUUAAGCCAUUGCAAAUUACAACAUUAAAAGCUAAAACUAUAUAAGUAUAUAAAAGAAAACAGAAGAAUAAAAAGAAAAACAGAAAGUUUUCUCUAUUUUUUCCUUUUUUUUAUUUCCGUUUUAUUUCUCAUUUUUUUUGCUGGUUUAUUAAUGUCCUUUACAAAACAUAAACUAAAACAGAAAUUGCAAUUUCAAUUUCUCCUUAUUUCAUUGUUUGGAUUUUAUUUAGGAUUCAUCGUUUAAGCCCUCAUAAAUUUUAAUAUCAAAAGUUAAAACUAAUAUAUUAAAAAAAACCAAAAAGAUAGGGUUUGUUCAAAUACUUAUAUUUUCAGGUAGUAAUUUGAGAGGUUUUUACAAAUUGUAAACCCUUCUUUAAUAACCUAAAAUUGAAACCCAAAAGAAAAAAAAACAAUACAAAACUAUAAAAACCCUAAUUCUUGACCUAAACCUAAAUUGGAAACAAAUGUUUCCUUAUUUUCCUAUUUUCUAAACCUAAAGCACUAAAUAUUAAAUACCACUGAAUAUUUAAAUAAAAAACUCACCUGGGACUGUUGAAGCUGGCCGCCGUAACCAGCAGAAACUUGCCGAAGGAGCUUCUGGCUUUUCUUGAUUUUUGAAUCAUGAGAAAAGAAAGAGGAACGACAAGGCUUCCUUUUCUCUGUCUUAUUUAAACGGAAAAGUUUU
rnacentral:lncRNA from 1 species